ACUAAGGACGAGGGAGGAUUAAUAACUCAGGGUGAACCAAUGCCUAAAACAAUAAACAAAACACCUCUAACUUCAGAGAAAGACAACUGACCUACAAACUUAAAGGAAAUAACUCACAACCAAAUCUACCUCCCUGACUAACCAAAAUAGGAGAAAACAGGAUGCAAACAUAAAAGGCGGUUCACCCCUACGGAAUCCUCGAAUGGCAGGUAAUAGUUACAAAGCACAAGGGCAUCACACAAACACUGAGCAUAAAGUGGUGGCUGAUUGGAAUGAGUGGAGAAUAAAGAACCCAGCUGCAUCUCAUCAGGUUGCCUUUAACAGCUCUGCUCCAGCUGAUCUACCAAUCCAAAUGUCUCCUGGCCAUCAUCCACCAAUCCUAGGAAGGCACCUGCACACUCAAAGUAACGCUUACAAAAAGAACAGUACAAAAAAUAAAAAUAAAAAUUAUGUUCCUUAUGACCGUGGUCAUAACAGGCUGCUGCCUCCAUGACCCAACUCUGGAUAAGCGGAAGAAAAUGGAUGGAUGGGUGGAUGGACAGAACCUGAAAAUUGCAAGGAAAUGCGAAAUUACUUGAAAUUAUGAAGACCAGGUCAGUUGAAAUGGCAGAGAAACGAAAAACGGCAGACAUCAGGUCGUUUUUAAUGCUCCAGAAUGUCAAGCAAAGUCCAGUCACUUGAGCGCAGGCAGCAAGAUCCUGUCCGACACAGGCACAGAGUCUCAGGUCAGUCUCUUAUAGUUAUAUGUUG